rnacentral:lncRNA from 1 species
UGAAGAACAAUGUUGUAUAGGUGCCUUGGGGCACAUAUGCAGGAGUAUCUUUUGGGUGUAUAGCUAGGAGAGGAAUUGCUGGGUUAUGGAAGAAUUUACCAAUUACACAAGUGGAUCCUCUGGUUGCUUUGGAACUCUAUAGACUGACAUUGAUCAUUGUCUGCUGAUCCUAACAGUGUGUGACCUUUAGUUACCAUGCUUUUCUGGUUGCUAUCAUUGGACACACCAUGGUUCAUCAAAUGGCUCAGAUCAGUGAGUUCCAAGUGAACAGAGGACUCCAGGUGUGCUGCAGUACUGGAGGGAACACUGAACAUCUGUGAUCUACAUACCUUUCCAAAAAUAUAUGUUUGUUGGGUUUAGCAGGUGAAAAAUAUUACUGGCUCAAUUUAAACUUUGGAUCACAUAAGGCCCCAGGUAGCCUUAUUAGAAGUGCUGUUGAGCCAGAAUUACACUUUACGUAAUUUAAUGUUGUGAACCCAAAUAUAGACCUUUUCACUUUAUGCUUUUUAACAUUUUCUAUAUUGGUUUAAGGCUUGGGUCUCAAAUUUUAGGUAUUAAUAUUUUACUAUUUUUUGUGUGGAGGACUAGCCCUGAGCUAACAUCUAUGCCAAUCUUCCUCUAUUUUAU